GCUAGAUAGAAUUUGAUUGCAAAAUAAAUAUUUUAUUUUUUCAUAUUAAUUUGGCUGGACAAAUUUUCAUUUAUAACAUCCGUGAUGAGUGGCCCAGGGCAGGAACCCACCCCGCCCACCCCAAUUCCAGCCGGGGAGUGACUGCGGGGUGCGGCUGGCGGGUCCCCGCUGCGCUCUGCCGCCGUGGGACACGGGGCGCGCCGCGGCGAUGCCGGAGCUGUACAGGGUGGGAUCGGUGCGGUGGGUUGCGGCAGGAGCUGCCGGCGCGGCCCCCAAAAGCGGGGUUGUGGCAGCAGCGGGGCCGUGAGAGGGCGGUGUUGGACCGCGCUGCGUCUCCGCUGCAUUCUGGGCAGUUCCAGCCUUGCUAUUUCGCAGCAGGCAUUCGUUGCAACAAAAUCUCCUUUCCCCCUUUCUCCUGUUUUCUUUUUCUUUUUAAUUUUCUGCCUUUUUUUCUUCUUUCCUAUUCUUCUUUCCCAUUUCUCCUUUUCUUUUGAGGUGUUUCCCAGACCUUCCCAGCAGUGUUUGUGACCUCUUUCCCAGACUUUCCAGCAGUUUAUGAAGCAUCCCAGCGCUGGAAGGGUGACUCUUUGCCAAUUGAGCAUCCCUGCAAUCACAGGUGAGCAGCUGAUGCAGCCAAGAGCUCCGUGAUGCCCCACCACACCGGUCGUGUUCCUGAGAGGACUCGCAGCCAAAGCUCAGCAUCACGGCCACCUCUGCCACGUGCUCCCUGAGGUGACUCCUCUGGAUAUCGAGCCCUGGAGGAGAGGUUACACCUCAGGUUUUGCCUGGCUUGAAGAGAAUAAAAAGCCCCAUUGGUGACAGCAACCUAAACAGGUGCAAACUAGGGAGUGAGUGUGGAAGUGAGCUGCCUUCACCUUUAUCUGCUGCUGUUGGACAGAUGAAUCCACACUACAGCAGAGCACUUGCAGAUUACUCUCCUUCUGUGAAAGUUUGCCUAUCAGUGUAAGCGGCAUCUGGAGAUGGGAAAACUGAACUUCAGGAAAUUGGACAGGAGGCUGGCUGAAAGAGUACCAGUGCUCUACAGGGAUUUCUUGUGCAUUUUCAAGGAAGUAUUUGCUGUGUUCUAGAAUGUGCAAAUAUUGUUUGGGGCUUGUUUUGUUUUGUUUUUUAUCUCAAAUGCUUGCCAAGGAAAUUGAAAUGUACAAACAUAAUUAGCCAGGGGCUGAACAUUUAAUCUUAAAUUCUGAGUCUUCAUUAAGUCUUAAUUUAAAAACCUUAGGAGGGAAGCUUGCAACCAUUCCUGUUCAUAAGGUUGGAUGGAAUUUGGGGCAGGUUUUAUGGCAGAAGAAGCAAACCACUGAAAUGGGGAAAGCUCAGCAAACUGUGCUGAAGCCAGUUAGUGGUCAAGUGGUCGUGUCAUGGAUAAUGGGACAAGAUCUGGAUUCAAGGCGCCUCUUGUGUGGUCAAAGCAGGCCAUGGUGGACGUGGCUCUGGGCAGCCUGAUCUGGUGGCAGGUGACCGUGUAUGUGGGGUUGGGGUCAGAGGGGCUCUCAGGUCCCUUCCAGCACAAACCAUUCUGUGGCUAGGAAUUUAAGAAGGCUGUGGGAGAACUGGAUGUCUUGUGGGGUGAAAAAACAGGAGCUUUCCCUUUGUAGGAGAGUUACUCCAAAUCAGAACGGGGUGUUUGGGGAUAAUUUUUUUUUUUUUUCCAUGGGUGGUCUUCCAAUGGCAUUGUUAUUUUAACCUGAAAAAGGGAUUAUUUUUGAAUUUGAAUCACUUUUAGUCUAUCAAGAUAAAAUAAAUUGCUAGUACCUUUUAUUUUUAUCUCAACUUACUGAGAAAAAUUUCUACACUAGACAUGAUAGGGAAAAAACUGGGAGGGAGAAAAAUUAAAUAAAACAAAUCCUUUUAUUCCUUCUGCAAGUACUCUUAUAAGCUGGGAAGCUGUGGAGAAAUGUGAAAGUGCUGUGAUUUCUCCUACACCUUCCUUUGCCCUUUUUCAGUGAAAGAGCUAUGAAAUGACAUCUUUGUGAAGAACAUGCCAGACCCUCUGCACAUCGAAAAAAGUCCAAAAAAGCAUCAGCAUUAAUUCCUGUGAGUGUUCAUGCCAAAUCUGUUCUUUUGUUUAGUCUUGUCAGGGGGGUCAUAAUUUGAAGUAGUCUUCUUUUUUUUUUUUUCCUGAUCACCAAAUAGUCAGAAAAGCAGUAACAGUAUUUUUUUAUUUAAAAGUAUUUUUAAUUAAAAAAAAUAAAUAUGAAAAUCGAUCUUAAACCUUAAUAAAAAGGCUUAUAUAGUACCUAGUACUUGCUGAAAGUUUAUUUUUCAAGUGCAUACUUUUAAAACAAACAAACAAAAAAAAAGUAGUGCAAGAAGAUAGCAUUCACCUUGCAAAUGGCUAGAUUCCAGCAAAGAAGAAAAAAAUUAAAAAGAAGAAGGCAAGAACAGGAAAAUUUGGGCACACUUGCAUGGCUGCCUGCAGAGAAGGUGACCCACUGGCCUGCUGCCUGCUGCUGGCCUGCCAGCAGAAGUUUUGCCCUUGCCUUGGCAGCAGCACCCUGAAAUGCCGCUUGGCUUCGUGCCGUGGUUCCUGGUGGGCUCCGGCCCCAGGGAAGGCAAGGAGGGGCUGUCCUGCAAGGAAAAGCACCUCCAUGGGAUCCACCUGCCAAGCAGUGCCCACACCCCCAGAUACCACCUCAGCCUCAUCACUCCUGCCCUUGCCACUCGGGUGAGGAGAAGUGAGUUCAGUCCCUGAGUUUAUAACAAGUUGGGCUGUAAAUCCUCUUUGGUGCAGUCUGCUAAGUUAUUGAGUGCUUCUGCUCACCUCGGCAGCUUCACAACUCCUACAGCUAAAUGGAAAAUUUAGAAUAACAGAACUAUUUCACAUGGCAACAGCAACCUGGAAGGAUCUGACUGGUGCAUUCCUACAAAUCAAUCCAGUGUGAGCUUCUAAGCCAAUGGGCUGGUCCCCUGUGAGCGACCGAACAUCUCGUCCUGGGCGUGUUAACAGCAAAGCUUGAAAUCAUGGUGACUUCUGGAAACCAAUUUUGAUAACCAGACUCUAUUUGUAAGGUAUUUAGAACUAAUAAAGCUACUGUGGUCUUGGGAGUGCCCUUUUCCUUGAGCACAAUGGGAAACUCUUCCUGUCAGGAUUGCUAUAGAAACAAUGACUUAUCAGGCAAACGGGACUAUCCAGCAAAUUGUGCCAGACAGGGGAUGUGUGCUGAUAAUGCAGCAGCAUUAAUUUGCUCUACUUUGUUAUAAGUAGAGCUUGCAUUGCCUAUAGAAAUGUAAAGAGGCAGGUGAGCUGGAGUGUCUAUUAUUUAUAGACACAAUUUGUGCUGUAUAAAUGAAUUUUCCAUAGGAAGACUUUUUAAAAAAAAAAGGCUUGAGAAACUGCUUUGUAAGUAAUUAUGACUGGGAGCUUCAAAUGUGCUCUGAAGAAUGGGUGGGUAUCCUUUAGUCCCCCUUAAAAUUUUUCAGAUGCAAUCUUGAACGUGUUGUAAAGAGGGGGGUACUUUGACCAUAUGUGAGGUACCCCAGCCCCAUUACUGACAGCCUUUAGCACGAUAAUGCUGAACCAUGGCUGGUAUUGCCUUCUGUCACCUCACAAAACUGAGCCACCCAUAAGCAAAUGCAAAUAUUAUUAGUAUGUUGAUGUGCUUGUACUGUGUGGCUUGAGAAGUCAGCACCAGACUGAAGUAUGAUCCAACAACAACAAGAAGAAAGAAAGAAGCAGAAACUCCUCGGUAUCGAGUGGGUAACAUCUACAUUUUCUUUAUUGCAUGUUGCUCGAUGCCACUUGGGAGGAUGUUCCUCUAUUUUUAAAAAGGAAGAAGACAUGAACUAUGGCAGGAAAUCAUUGAGCUGAGAGGAGUUUGGCUUCAGAUGUGAGACACACCACCAGAAUCACAGAGAAGGUUCCCAGAGUACUCUUCUUUGUGCUUCAGGGGAAUUUUUGUUACUCUUCAAACAAUAAUUCUGAAAAAAACCCCACAGACACAAAAGAAAAGACAAAGUAGUGCAUUACACCACCCCACAAUGGGCCCAGCGUUGAUGCUGGAUUAACUGUCCCCAGUGAGUGGCUGAGCUCACAUCUCCCUGCCUACCUGGAACUCAACUCUGCUCUGCCUCUGGGGUUAUGAUCUCAUCUCUGAAGUGCUGCAAACACAGCUGAGCUCCACACUGCUCCCACUGUAGGUCCCACUUCUGGAAACGUGGAGCUGGGGAUCUGGGCCACGCAGCAGGGAAUCUCUGCAGGAGAUGGAGGAGGUGGGACACCCCCAUGCCACUCUUUCUCCCCACAGAUGUUCACCACAGCUAUCUUCAAAGGCCAUGGACUUCUAAAGAGCUGCUCGCCUGGCUGUGCGUAUAUGGAGCCUGUAUUUUUCCUUCUGCUUCUCCAGGUGGGAACUGAAAAUCUUGCACCUAUAAAGAAGCACCCAUCAUUGUCCUGACAUCAGUUUGAGGUGGGCUAGUAGGUAUUUCCAAGGGUCUCAGCUGUUUGCAGGUGAGAAGUAAUUUUUUCUUGCACAAGCUUUCUUCUUGCAUGGGCUUUUGGCUGCUUGUCACGUAUGAGGCUGUGCUGGCAGGAAAGAGGAGACCCAACUGAAUAUUUCUGUCACACCAAGUAUUUGUAUUUGUUUCAGGGUGGCUCACUCUGUGCAGAGAUGCCUGCUUCCAGCUUUGUGCACUCUGGCACGUGUUGCCUAAUGGACCAGGGCUUCUCGCUCAGCACAGCUGACAAGGAGCAUCUCUGUCACCACAGCUGACACACACUUGCUUUGUUAAAUGACAUAAGAUGCUGCAGUGCAAGGCACAAGUUCUCCCAUGCUUUCAGCUAAACAAUUUACUGCUGUGCUGCAUAUACCCUUUGGUCCAGCGAGGGAGGACCCAGAGCUGGUCAGUGUCCCAGUGGCCAGCUCUGUCCCCCUUGACACUGCAAGGAGCAGUGGAAACUAAGUGACAUGUUGACCUAAUGCCCUGCCUGUAGGGCAUUCAUACCUAGCCUGCCUGACAGCUCCCAAACUGCCUGCUGAGGUUCAGCCCCAUGAGGCAUUUUCUGCUCUGCUACGUCCCAGCUUCUCCAGUCCUCCUGCCUCUGCACCAUCCUGGGUGUAGGCAAAGCCAGGGCUUUGGAAUGUGUGUUUCUGGCUGCAAACUGAGGUCUUUUCUGCACAUCAAAUGCUCAUCAGCGACUGGGAACACAACCAAGGAGGUUGUGGAGGAGAGGAGGAAGCCACACUUGACCCCACAGAAACCACAAACCUAAUUUCACACCGAAGGCAAUUAGCCAGCACACAUUUGGUUAGGGUGGCUGUGCUACUUUGUAAAACGUGACCUUGUAAUGAGCUGGGGCGAUGGAUCUGAGUUUCAGCUAGUCUACACUGGCAAAGGAAAACUGCCAGCAGUUAAAUAUCAUCCAGAGAGGGGAGCAGGGGUGAAGUGGCCCUCAAAACCAUCUCUGUGCACUUCCAAGUCCUGCUUUGCACGACGGGAUCACGUCCCUGACUCCAUGCCAUCACACUCAGCUCCCUCCUGAAGCCAGCAGGAUGCUGCAGCAUCCUUGGCUGGGCAGUGCUGACUCAGGCACAGAGUCCUGUGCCUGCUCCCUGGCACUGCUGUCCCCCAGAUAUUUCACCACUAGAUAUAAAAAUCCCCGAGUCAGGCGCUUGCGGCUGCGCUCACUGCAAGGGGAAGCAGUAAAAGGCUGAUUUACGCUCUGAACCACAAAAGCCUUUUAUUGCUGCUUUUUUAUUUGAAUGUAACUCUCAUGCCCUUAAAUGUGUAAUCCCUUUCUAACAGUCUUGUGGAAGUGGCAGGGCUCUCCACGGGUUAAAGGCGGUGUUUUUCAAGAGGAUCAAGUUGUCCACCAGGUCCCCGAAGCCCCUCUUGCCCUGGCACAGCCAGUCCUCCUGUCAGCAAGGGAGGAGAGCAGCAGUAAGCUGUGUGCUGCUGGCAUGGUCCACCACAUACCCCCAGCCCUCAGCUUCCUGGGGUUGUUGGAGAGUUAUUCCAUCACUUGGAGUAUUCCCGACAGUCUUGGGCACUGCUGCUCCUUCAGGGGAGAAUAAAACCCCAAGCUGAUCUAACAGCAACAGUGAUUUAGGAAUUUGACUCCAGGCAUAUACAUUUAAAGACAUUGCCCAAUUAUUUCUUCAUUUUUAUUAAUUACUAUUAGUCAUUUAUGGCCCCUUUUAAAUUCAACUUCUCAAGAAAAAUAUUGCUUUAGGAAAAAAAAAAGAAAAAGGACAGUCAUUAAAUGAACAAUUAGCAAAAGCUACAACUGCACCAUAAAAGAGAAAUACUAGGGGGGGAGGAAUAUUUCAAAUUGACUGGGGCAUGCAAGUUGUCGAAUGGAUGGAAAGCCAGCCGAGAUCCUAAGGAAGGGGUGGAUGCUGAAGAGGAGGAAAAGUACACAGUGUGGCAUUGCUAGGUUCAUUGUCAGGCCUGCUAUUAAUUACUUGCUUUAUUAAUGAUUUGGAAGCAAUAAGAAUUAAUUGCAUCAGGAAAUGAUGGUACAUUGGGAAGAGCUGAAAGCAGAGGUGAGAGCAGAAGAACAGCGAGAGAGGCAGGGAGGGCUGAGGGGUGUAAGAGGGAUUUGAUUUCAUUCAGGCUCUGGGGGCUUUUCUACAGUUUCCCCUAGUAAAAGAGCACCAAUAAUGUCUGUGGACAAGGAAGGGGCCCAGAGAGGUCAGACAGGAGGGUUUGGUUUGAAGCAGGAGCCAUGGAGACCCUUCCUGUCCCGCUCAAGAGAGGAACAGACUUGCCUGAGGUGUGAGGCAGGCAGAGUCCCUGCACAACAAAACUGAUCAGCGUGGAGGGGCAGCUGACUUCAGAAGAUCCCAGACUGUAUAGCAGGGCGUGUUUAAAAGAAAACACUAAACAGACAAUACAUUGUUCUGCCUGCUUUGCAGCCUAACUGAAGGAAGGGGGAAAACAAAGCCCAGAUUAAUGUAGAAAUUGCAUUUAAUGAUCAUCUUGAGAACCAUAGGACAAAAUCAAGGGAGUGAGCUGCCACAAGCUGUUAAGGAGGAAACCCUCUGCCCACCGGAUGCCAGUGUUGCCCAACAUUAAAUCACAUGGAGAAAACUCCUCUGGCAAGAGAAUAUUUGGUGCUUAAAGACACCCAUCCCUCCAGCUACCCAAACACCACCACAUUCAAAAGCGCACUUGCAACUUACUUGGCGGCACAGUUAAAUCUAUUUGCAACUCAUCAUUCUGGAGGUAGGCAAAGGUGACAAAGCCAAGGACGAAGCACUGUGUAAAAUUUUACUUUUACUGAGCGGACCCUAAAGAAGCCCCAGCAGAGUUUUAUUGUGCGGCUCCUCAGGCUGACAGUCUCCAUUAACCAUCGGUUAAUACUGCAGCGUCAGAGCAAACCCAGAGUCGCAGCCCUGUGCUGUUAGGAAGUGUCCUUCAUCCCAGCAAGAGACCUCGGGGUGAGAAUAUUUUGCAUGAAGAGCCACUGGUGUAAGAGCUGAGCCUCUCAGUUCUGCAUUGCAGUCAGCGUGUCGUGUGCCAUCCCUCCACGCCACAAAUAAAUCUACAAUUUCUCAGCUGGGAGCCUUUGGAAGCCACAUACUAAUACGCUUAUAUGGGAAGAGAGACCAGACAAGGUUCAAAUAAAGAGCUCAUGUAAUAAAUAAACAUGAGGUCAGUAUGGGAA